rnacentral:rRNA from 1 species
ACACUCCUGCGGGAGGCAGCAGUGGGGAAUUUUGGACAAUGGGCGAAAGCCUGAUCCAGCAAUGCCGCGUGAGUGAAGAAGGCCUUCGGGUUGUAAAGCUCUUUUGUCAGGGAAGAAACGGUGAGAGCUAAUAUCUCUUGCUAAUGACGGUACCUGAAGAAUAAGCACCGGCUAACUACGUGCCAGCAGCCGCGGUAAUACGUAGGGUGCAAGCGUUAAUCGGAAUUACUGGGCGUAAAGCGUGCGCAGGCGGUUUUGUAAGUCUGAUGUGAAAUCCCCGGGCUCAACCUGGGAAUUGCAUUGGAGACUGCAAGGCUAGAAUCUGGCAGAGGGGGGUAGAAUUCCACGUGUAGCAGUGAAAUGCGUAGAUAUGUGGAGGAACACCGAUGGCGAAGGCAGCCCCCUGGGUCAAGAUUGACGCUCAUGCACGAAAGCGUGGGGAGCAAACAGGAUUAGAAACCCGGGUAGUCCC